GAACGGGUGAGUAAUACAUAAAUAAUCUACCAUAAUGACUGGGAUAACCAAUGGAAACGCUGGCUAAUACCGGAUAGGUAAAACGAGGGCAUCUUUGUUUUAUUAAAGUAGGGCUACUACACAAUAUGAUGAGUUUAUGGCGCAUUAGCUAGUUGGUGAGGUAACGGCUCACCAAGGCGAUGAUGCGUAGCCGACCUGAGAGGGUGACCGGCCACACUGGGACUGAGACACGGCCCAGACUCCUACGGGAGGCAGCAGUAGGGAAUUUUCGGCAAUGGGCGCAAGCCUGACCGAGCAACGCCGCGUGAGUGAAGAAGGCCUUCGGGUUGUAAAGCUCUGUUGUAAGGGAAGAACACUUUUUAGAGGAAAUGCUAGAGAGCUGACGGUACCUUACCAGAAAGCCACGGCUAACUACGUGCCAGCAGCCGCGGUAAUACGUAGGUGGCGAGCGUUAUCCGGAAUUAUUGGGCGUAAAGGGUGCGUAGGCGGUUUAUUAAGUCUGUGGUGAAAGUGCGGGGCUCAACCCCGUAUGGCCACAGAAACUGAUAGACUAGAGUACAGGAGAGGGCAGUGGAAUUCCAUGUGUAGCGGUAAAAUGCGUAGAUAUAUGGAGGAACACCGGUGGCGAAGGCGGCUGCCUGGCCUGGAACUGACGCUGAGGCACGAAAGCGUGGGGAGCAAAUAGGAUUAGAUACCCUAGUAGUCCACGCUGUAAACGAUGAUUACUAAGUGUUGGAGAAAUUCAGUGCUGCAGUUAACGCAAUAAGUAAUCCGCCUGGGGAGUAUGCACGCAAGUGUGAAACUCAAAGGAAUUGACGGGACCCCGCACAAGCGGUGGAGUAUGUGGUUUAAU
rnacentral:rRNA from 1 species